CUAAGCAUGUGCCAGGGAGCUCAGCCGAGCUCGACUCCACCACUGUGCUGGGCAGCCUGUUCCAGGGCCUAACGACUCUUUUGGGGAAGAGACUGUUCCUCCUGUCCAACCUAAACCUUCCCUGGUGCAACCUGAGUGCCCCCAGAAAGGACUUGGAGUGGCAGAGGUUCCGAGAGCUGGAAGCAUCCCAUGGUUUAAUGCAUGAGAGCAAGAGGCAGCAGAGAGUCGUGGCUGCCAGUGAUAAGUGCAGGGCCUGCAGGGCGAUGUCAGGGUAGUAAAUGUUGGGGGGGAUGCGAGAGGGUGGGAGCUGCAGCCCUGUGCGGCAGCUCUGAUAGAAGAGAAAAGCAGCAGGGGCUCAGCCGUGUGCCAAAGGUGAAAAGUUAGGCAGAAGGAUGUCCCUGGCUUGGGUGGAGAAGAAGGAGCAGAGCCUGUCAGCUGUCCUUGUCUCUGUCUUUGCUUGCCUGAUGCCAUAGGGGGGGUGUGGGCUGUGAUGAUGCAGCAGAGUGAGGGGUGGGGGCAGCCUCCCUUGCAAGGGUGCUUGCAGCCCUGCACGUUUGAAGGGCCUGAGAAUUCUUGGAGAGGAUUAAAACACACUGCAGACUG